rnacentral:lncRNA from 1 species
UUUUUGUAACGAUCGACUGGGACCUGCCGCAACGGCAUAGCAUGGAUAGGAACUGGCGGAGGUGGAGGCGGAGGUGGUAAAGGACUUGCUACCGGCGAUGGCGGCAUUAACUGCAUCGGCGUCGGAGCAGCUGUAGACUCUUCAUUUUCGACUCCAGGAAGCGAGAGACUUAAUAAAGUCGGAGGAUCUUUCGUUUGAAGCGGCGGAGGCGGAGGCGGAGGAGAAGACGUUGCUACUUCGAUUUGCGGAGCAACAACCGCUCCUGUUCUAGCGACUGGCCGGUAGACGUGCGACGACGAAAUCGCCGGAACGCUGGAAUCACUGACGUCAGAUCCAGACGGACUACCGGGAUUCAAAUAACGACCAGAAACA